rnacentral:rRNA from 1 species
GACGGGGGAUGCAAGCGUUAUCCGGAAUCACUGGGCGGAAAGCGUCUGUAGGUGGUGAUGCAAGUCACUGGUGCAAAACCCUGGCUCAACCGGAGGAAAGCCAGUGAAACUGCAUGACUAGAGUGUGGGAGAGGUAGAAGGAAUUCCCUGAGUAGCGGUGAAAUGCGUAGAUACAGGGAAGAACACCGGAGGCGAAAGCGUUCUACUGGAACACAACUGACCCUGAGAGACGAAAGCUAGGGGAGCGAAUGGG